rnacentral:rRNA from 1 species
UGGGGAAUAUUGGACAAUGGGCGAAAGCCUGAUCCAGCAAUGCCGCGUGUGUGAAGAAGGUCUUCGGAUUGUAAAGCACUUUCGACGGGGACGAUGAUGACGGUACCCGUAGGAGAAGCCCCGGCUAACUUCGUGUCAG